AGCGAACGCUGGCGGCAGGCUUAACACAUGCAAGUCGAGCGGGCAUCCUUGUGGUGUCAGCGGCAGACGGGUGAGUAACGCGUGGGAACGUGCCCUUCGGUUCGGAAUAACUCAGGGAAACUUGAGCUAAUGCCGGAUACGUGCGAGAGCAGAAAGGUUUAUCUGCCGAAGGAUCGGCCCGCGUCUGAUUAGUUAGUUGGUGAGGUUAUGGCUCACCAAGGCGACGAUCAGUAGCUGGUCUGAGAGGAUGAUCAGCCACACUGGGACUGAGACACGGCCCAGACUCCUACGGGAAGCAGCAGUGGGGAAUAUUGGACAAUGGGGGCAACCCUGAUCCAGCCAUGCCGCGUGAGUGAUGACGGCCUUAGGGUUGUAAAGCUCUUUUCUUCGGGACGAUAAUGACGGUACCGGAGGAAUAAGCCCCGGCUAACUUCGUG
rnacentral:rRNA from 1 species